AUGAGGCAACAAUCAUCCUGGAAUAGUAGCUGGCUACCCAGAAAAGCUACAACUAACAGUGGCGUCAACCAUGAGACAAUUGCCGGCAUGAGGUACAAGGAGAUGGCCGCUUCCAAGGGCAAGCCAUUCCCAUUUAAGCAUGUUUGGUCAAUUCUUCAAACCUUUGACAAGUGGAAGUUGAGGGAUCAAGAGACCGCACCCAAGAAGUCGGCAAUGCUAAGGAUGGAUGACAGUGAAGAUGAGGAGGAGAGGAACUUGGGCAAGCCCGAGGGAACCAAGAAGGGCAAGCUAAGGGUGAAGAUGGAAGAAGAGGCGUCAAGCCUAAGGGAGAAGAUGGACCACAUGAUGAAGGCAAGAGAGGAAUUGACAACGAAGACAUUGGAGAUGAAGCUUCUUAUCACCGAUAAGAAGAAAGAGGUCAAGCUUGCACAAGUUGAAGCAAAGCGUGAAGAAGCAAAGCGCAAGACCGAGUUGGAGGAGAGGAUGAUCAAGCUCAAAGAGGCAAAGGUAUGGAAAGAACUCAUGGUGGAAGAGAAAGAGCACAUUAUGAUGUCCAAGAAGGACAUGGAUCAAGACCAAUUGCAAUGGUGGAAGGACACCAAGGAGGACAUCGCAGAGAGGAAGAGGAUGUUCCGUGUUGCGUCCUCUACUUUUCGAGGUGACACUCCGCUGAGUAGUUGUGGUGAUGGCGGUGUGUACGACUCCACCGGUGCCGAUGGAGAUGCUUGA
rnacentral:rRNA from 1 species